GUCCACUGACUUUCACAGCACCUUUUCUAAAACUGAAAUGAUACAGAGAAGAUUAGCACGGCCCCUGUGCAAGAUGACACUUCUAAUAACAGACAAGAGCACAUGGGAA